rnacentral:rRNA from 1 species
UGCAAGUCGAGCGGUAGCACAGAAGCUUGCUCUCUUGGUGACGAGCGGCGGACGGGUGAGUAAUGCCUAGGAAACUGCCUGAUGGAGGGGGAUAGCUACUGGAAACGGUAGCUAAUACCGCAUAACGUCGCAAGACCAAAGUAGGGGACCUUCGGGCCUCAUGCCAUCAGAUGUGCCCAGGUGGGAUUAGCUAGUAGGUGGGGUAACGGCUCACCAAGGCGACGAUCCCUAGCUGGUCUGAGAGGAUGAUCAGUCACACUGGAACUGAGACACGGUCCAGACUCCUACGGGAGGCAGCAGUGGGGAAUAUUGGACAAUGGGCGCAAGCCUGAUGCAGCCAUGCCGCGUGUGUGAAGAAGGCCUUCGGGUUGUAAAGCACUUUAAGCGGGGAGGAAGGCGGUGAGGUUAAUAACCUCAUCGAUUGACGUUACCCGCAGAAGAAGCACCGGCUAACUCCGUGCCAGCAGCCGCGG